UACAAUGUGUGAUUAUACUGUAUGGAACUGGUGAGGGGAGUGCGUCAAGGCGUGCAUGGUGCCACACAAUGUGCCUGGAGAGAUUGAUGUUUUUGUCAUCCACCUGCUUCAAAGCUGUAAAGAGCCAGCUGAUGCAAACAGAGAAAAAAAAACUAGCAAGGCAGGCUGACAAACAAAAGAGGGAGAACCUCACUGCUCCAUCUUUGCGCAUCUGUUUUGGAGGAAUAUCUGAUGUUUCUGUGACGCACACUGGGCUCGAAUGAAGACUCAAUCUGAGUCCUGUCCCUGGGAGUGGUGUAAGUGAAAACGAGGCCUGGAGCCAUGGGCUGGGAGGAGAGAUGGCAGCCAGGAUGGCACACUGACUGGAGGAGCGCCAGCUGCUCUCAUUCAGCAGGUCAAGCAGUGACACAAUUCCACGCCAAUGUGAGUCGCAGUUGUGAGCCAGUACACAGAGAGUUAACAACGACGGGAUGGCGACCGAAAAAAAAGCAAAGAAACAAGCCCCUGCUCUAACUGUGGCUGUAAAGCUUUGGUACCCCUAUGGAUAUCUGACCUUCUAGCCCUGACUCCUGUGAACCUCUUUUACAUCAGUUUGGCUUUGUCUUCCGUAAAGUCCUGCCUUUCUUCGUCUGCUGGAUCUGCUUGUUAUCCAGUUCUACAGACUUCAAGGCUUGAGCUCCUGGAACUCUCUGAGCUGUGUUCAUCACAUGAUGUUGGUAGUCAUUCAGCUGGAUUCCAAUCCUUCCUUUGGGCACAGACUGAACUCUAAGAUCAGGAGCGCUCCAGCUUUGCCCAGCUGACCUGCAGAUUUGAUAUGGAUCAGUGAGGACUCGCUGAGAGAGCGGAGCGUGGAAGAACAUGGAAAGAAAUCACAAUCAGAUCACACAAUUACACUCCGGAUGACUGCAGAUUGGGUGGCAGCUGAAUGGUCUCAGUGAAGGUUGAAAACGAGAGAGAAGGUUUCAGCAGGAAGUUCAUGUCCUGUAAUUUUCAAACAUGUUAAAAGUGAUAUCUUGACAGUUUGAAUAUUUUUUUUUCUUUCAGACCACACUGCGGAGGAGGAAUGGUUGACACUUACCCUGUUAGCACUUAAAGAGAAAAUCAUCUUGUUAAAGUUGUUAGGAUUCUGACCUUUAGCACAGUAAUUUUAAAAAGUGUUGAACAGAGAAAAGUGAAAAGAAAGGAAAAUUUUAUGUUAAGCGACAUUAGGUCGAUACUCUUCGUAACUGUUCAUUUAUCCUUAAUAGUAUAUUUAUGUUGAGCAACUGAUAAAAUAUAUUAGACAUCUCAGAUACUGCAUUAUUAGAUUAUGUUCAAGGGAGGAUUCUUAGAAUAAUUAAUUUGCAAGCAAUGAUUAAAAAUACAAUAUAAUGUCACUUUUUGAACUCUAACUGUUGGAGGCACUGCUUGUGAUAAAAGUUUAGUAGAAAGUUUGGGAGCUUUAGGCUGGUGUCUGUGGAGAUUCCCAUAGUUUCCUAACAAUUAACAUGGGUAUUUUUAUAGAUUUAAAAAGCAAAUACCAACAUGAAAAAAGCUAACAUAAUAAAACACUAGCAUAAAUAGUUCAUUGUUUCUACUACAGUAGCUUAUAAGUUUCAAGUAACAAAGUAUUACGACUACAACACAGCCAGUAAUGGUGCUCUGUUGAGUUUUAAAUCUGAGUUGAUUCUCGGCAGAAGAGAUAUGAACAAAAAAGUUUCUUUGAAAAUGAAAUCCUAUGGCUAUUUUGAGUUAUUGUUCACCAGAUAUGAAAAAUGAUUAGAAUUUCAAUACCUUCGUAAAACAUCUGGAUAAUGUUUGGAUGUUUUAGAUUUUGAUGUUUGAAUCUGUCUGCCCAGUUACGGUAGUAGCACGGUAACAGAACCUGCCCUCAAACCACCAAUGAAGGUUACAUAGGACUCUCAGGAAUGCACUUAUCUACAAAUCUAGAUUUGGGAUUCUCCAAUUUCAGUCUCAAAAUGUACCUACUGUAAGGAUACUUAUGAUUAUGUCAUAUUGCAAUUUGUUUCUCAGUUCACUAGACCUUUUGUGUUCAUGCUCUAUUUCGUUUGUGGCUUUUCAACUGUCCUCCUUUGUUCCACUUUAUCUUGUUUUUUCUCUCCAACAGCAGGCUUAAAUACUGAUAGAACUCACUCUGGAUUUGAUUAAAUUCCUACACUGCACAAUCAGACAGCAGACAUAAAUAUCUGGGGGCAUCUUAGAGAGAGACGAAUCAGUUAAAGAGGACUGAGUGUAGAUCAGGUUUCUAUCCCUGAUGAAUAUCGAUGCGACUUGACCGGUUGCAAAGUGACUCAAUGUGUCAGCUCUAAAGAGAGAAGCCAUUAUAUCAUUAGAGCUAAUUUCAUCUUGCUCUACUUGCUCCUCAUUGUUAUUCAGUCAUUCAGUGAGGAUGCAUUUACAGCUGAUUCACAACUAUCCAUUAUUCUAUUUUUUACUGGGUUCAGAAAACCAGUAUUGCAGUCUUUGAAUUUCAGUUUUGCAGAUUUUUAGCUUUUAGCGGUUGGUAAUUUUCAGAUUCCACUUAAAUCAAAGCAGUUAUACUACAAAGGAUGACAACUGGUUUGUUUUCAGGAGAACAGCUUAUUGAGCAUUUAUAUCACUUCCCCGUUUUUCCUCAGGUCAUCCUAUUAUAUCCACCUUACCGUUGCCUGUGUUUGCCUCACAACCAUGGGGACCAGGGCUGUCUAAUGCUCUGCUCCCAAACUCUGGAAUUCUCUCCCACCAGACAUUUGUAACAUUGACACUCUUUCUGCUUUUCCACUGCUCACUCCUGCAUUAUGUAACUUUUGGCUUAUAUGAUGCAGUUUUUUUUACAAAAUGGUGGUAGACAGGAUGAUUCUCCUGUUGCAGCCUGUCUUAAAGUACAGUGGUCUGAAGAAGCCUCUGACUGAAGAAACUAUUAUUGAAUGACUGCCUUGUGGAAAGGGUGCCCAGGGUUCUCCAUAAUGAUUUUAGUUUUAUGAGGAGGUCUCAAAAUUAGCUGGCCUUUUUAUUUCCAUAUUUGAGCUUUUUCAAGUCAACAGCUCUGAGUCUACUGCCCCACCAACAGAUGAUGGCAGAAAAGAUGACACUCUCCAUAACAGAUGAACAAUAAAGGACCCAAGCCCCGUCAAGAAUUACAUUCUGCUCUGUCCCUUAUUGUAUAUGGCUUUAACCAUUGCAUCUCCACUUUAAGCUGUUCUCUAGAUACUGUAAGUGGUUCUCAACCUUUUUAAGUCACAUCCCCCAAUUUACCUUCCACUGCUGCCCAUGAUCACAUCCCAGUGCCAAUUCAACAUUUUUAUACGUUGCAUUUACUUAAUAAGACAAGCACUUAAUCACUCACUUCAGCUAUUAGUCUCUUUUUCAUCUUAUUUUGAAACUGGGAUUUUUCAAAAAACAUAAAGCAGCUUUAAGAGGCUAACUUCCCAAACAGACUGUGACAGUGGUCUCUUUGAAAAAAAAAAAAAAAA